rnacentral:rRNA from 1 species
UACGUAGGGUGCGAGCGUUGCCCGGAUUUAUUGGGCGUAAAGGGCGCGUAGGCGGCUCUGCACGUCCGUUGUGAAAUCGCCCGGCUCAACUGGGCGGGGUCAGCGGAUACGGCGGAGCUUGAGCAAGCUAGGGGGCAAUGGAAUUCCCGGUGUAGUGGUGGAAUGCGCAGAUAUCGGGAGGAACACCAAUGGCGAAGGCAGCUCGCUGGGACGGUACUGACGCUGAGGCGCGAAAGCGUGGGGAGCAAACAGG